rnacentral:rRNA from 1 species
UACAGAGGGGGCAAGCGUUGUUCGGAAUUACUGGGCGUAAAGGGCGCGUAGGCGGCCUGUUAAGUCGAACGUGAAAGCCCACAGCUCAACUGUGGAACUGCCCUGGAUACUGUCAGACUUGAGGGUAGACGAGGUUGGCGGAAUAGAAGGUGUAGCGGUGAAAUGCAUAGAUACCUUCUAGAACCCCGAUUGCGUAGGCAGCUGACUAGGCUACACCUGACACUGAGGCACGAAAGCGUGGGGAGCGAACAGG